rnacentral:rRNA from 1 species
CCUACGGGAGGCAGCAGUGAGGAAUAUUGGUCAAUGGGCGCGAGCCUGAACCAGCCAAGUAGCGUGAAGGAUGACUGCCCUACGGGUUGUAAACUUCUUUUAUAAAGGAAUAAAGUGAGGCACGUGUGCCUUUUUGUAUGUACUUUAUGAAUAAGGAUCGGCUAACUCCGUGCCAGCAGCCGCGGUACUACGGAGGAUCCGAGCGUUAUCCGGAUUUAUUGGGGUUAAAGGGAGCGUAGAUGGGUUGUUAAGUCAGGUGUGAAAGUUUGCGGCUCAACCGUAAAAUUGCAGUUGAUCCUGGCAGCCUUGAGUACGGUUAGGGUAGGCGGAAUUCGUGGUGUAGCGGUGAAAUGCUUAGAUAUCACGAAGAACUCCGAUUGCGAAGGCAGCUUACUAAACUGACACUGACGUUGAGGCUCGAAAGUGUGGGUAUCAAACAGGAUUAGAUACCCUGGUAGUC